rnacentral:rRNA from 1 species
CGGGGUGCACCAGGCGCGAAAACUUUACAAUGCUGGCAACAGCGAUAAGGGGACCUCGAGUGCCAGGAUACAAUCCUGGCUGUCGUAAUGCCUAAAAAGCAUUGCAUAGCAAGGGCCGGGCAAGACCGGUGCCAGCCGCCGCGGUAACACCGGCGGCUCGAGUGGUAACCGCUAUUAUUGGGUCUAAAGGGUCUGUAGCCGGCUGACUAAGUCUCUUGGGAAAUCUGGCAGCUCAACUGUCAGGCUUUCAGGAGAUACUGAUCGGCUCGAGACCGGGAGAGGUGAGAGGUACCUCAGGGGUAGGGGUGAAAUCUUGUAAUCCUUGAGGGACCACCAGUGGCGAAGGCGUCUCACCAGAACGGAUCUGACGGCAAGGGACGAAAGCUAGGGGCACGAACCGGAUUAGAUACCCGGGUAGUCCUAGCCGUAAACGAUACUCGCUAGGUGUCGGCCACGGUGCGACCGUGGUCGGUGCCGUAGGGAAGCCGUGAAGCGAGCCACCUGGGAAGUACGGCCGCAAGGCUGAGACUUAAAGGAAUUGGCGGGGGAGCACAAGGG